ACGAACGCUGGCGGCGUGCUUAACACAUGCAAGUCGAGCGGAAAGGCCUUCGGGGUACUCGAGCGGCGAACGGGUGAGUAACACGUGAGUAAUCUGCCCUUGGCUUUGGGAUAACUACCGGAAACGGUGGCUAAUACCGGAUACGACAACCGUCUGCAUGGGCUGGUUGUGGAAAGUUUUUUCGGCCAGGGAUGUGCUCGCGGCCUAUCAGCUUGUUGGUGGGGUAAUGGCCUACCAAGGCUUCGACGGGUAGCCGGCCUGAGAGGGUGACCGCCCACACUGGGACUGAGACACGGCCCAGACUCCUACGGGAGGCAGCAGUGGGGAAUAUUGGACAAUGGGCGGAAGCCUGAUCCAGCAACGCCGCGUGAGGGAUGACGGCCUUCGGGUAGUAAACCUCUUUCAGUACCGACGAAGCGCCGAUGAUGGUGGUGACGGUAGGUACAGAAGAAGCACCGGCCAACUACGUG
rnacentral:rRNA from 1 species